rnacentral:sRNA from 1 species
AGCUUGCUUAGUUUCUUCACCAGCUUUUUGAGCUUGUAUCAAAGCAUCACUUACAGAUUGAUGCACG